GAUAGCUCCAUCAGUAGAGCAUGAGAUUCUUAAUGUCAGGGUUGUGGGUUUGAGCCCCAUGUUGGGCA